rnacentral:rRNA from 1 species
CAGACUCCUACGGGAGGCAGCAGUGGGGAAUAUUGCACAAUGGGCGCAAGCCUGAUGCAGCCAUGCCGCGUGUAUGAAGAAGGCCUUCGGGUUGUAAAGUACUUUCAGCGAGGAGGAAGGCAUUAAGGUUAAUAACCUUGGUGAUUGACGUUACUCGCAGAAGAAGCACCGGCUAACUCCGUGCCAGCAGCCGCGGUAAUACG